UACGAAGGGUGCAAGCGUUACUCGGAAUUACUGGGCGUAAAGCGUGCGUAGGUGGUUUGUUAAGUCUGAUGUGAAAGCCCUGGGCUCAACCUGGGAAUUGCAUUGGAUACUGGCAGGCUAGAGUGCGGUAGAGGAUGGCGGAAUUCCUGGUGUAGCGGUGAAAUGCGUAGAGAUCAGGAAGAACAUCGGUGGCGAAGGCGCUCUGCUGGACCAUAACUGACACUCAGGGACGAAAGCUAGGGGAGCGAAUGGG
rnacentral:rRNA from 1 species